CCUACGGGAGACAGCAGUGGGGAAUAUUGGGCAAUGGAGGCAACUCUGACCCAGCAACGCCGCGUGAGUGAUGAAGGUCUUCGGAUUGUAAAACUCUUUAAGUGGGGACGAAGAAAGUGACUGUACCCACAGAAUAAGCCUCGGCUAACUACGUGCCAGCAGCCGCGGUAAUACGGAGGAUCCGAGCGUUAUCCGGAUUUAUUGGGUUUAAAGGGAGCGUAGGUGGAUUGUUAAGUCAGUGGUAAAAGCCCGGGGCUCAACCCCGGCGAGCCGUUGAAACUGGCUGUCUUGAGAUGUCGAGAGGUAUGCGGAAUGCGCAGUGUAGCGGUGAAAUGCUUAGAUAUUGCGCAGAACUCCGAUUGCGAAGGCAGCAUACCGGCGGCGAUCUGACGCUGAGGCACGAAAGCGUGGGUAUCGAACAGGAUUAGAUACCCUUGUAGUC
rnacentral:rRNA from 1 species